rnacentral:rRNA from 1 species
AACGUAGGGGGCAAGCGUUGCCCGGAUUCACUGGGCGUAAAGCGGGUGUAGGCGGUCCUCUAAGUCAGAUGUGAAAUCCUACGACUCAACCGUGGAACUGCAUCUGAUACUGGAGGACUUGAGGACGGUAGAGGUCGGUGGAAUUCCCGGUGUACCGGUGAAAUGGGCAGAUAUCGGGAGGAACACCAGUGGCGAAGGCGGCCGACUGGGCCGAUCCUGACGCUGAGACCCGAAAGCUAGGGUAGCGAACCGG